rnacentral:tRNA from 1 species
UGUAGCUCAGAGGCAGAGCGCUUGCCUUGUAUAGGCAAAGUCCUGAGUUAGAUCCUCAGUA